rnacentral:rRNA from 1 species
CACGGGGGUUGCGAGCGUUGUCCGGAAUUACUAGGCGUAAAGGGCAGGCAGGCGGAUCCAUAAGUUUAUCGUUUAAGGCGUCGGCUUAACCGGCGUAGGGCGGUAGAUACUGUGGAUCUGGAAUGCGGUUGGGGAAGACAGAAUUCCUGGUGUAGCGGUGGAAUGCGCAGAGAUCAGGAGGAAUACCGAAGGCGAAGGCAGUCUUCCAAGCCGUUAUUGACGCUCAACUGCGAAGGUGUGGGUAUCAAAACAGGAUUAGAUACCCCGGUAGUCCCUGAGCGGG